GAAAGCUCUAGAAUUCUGGGAAAAAGCAGGAGAGAGUCACAAAGCAGUGAUGAUCAUUACAGUCGUUCCACAUACAAGCUGGAAGUACUACAGGCAUAGAGGGAAGAGUACCUGUGUCUGUAACAACGUAAAAGGUCACAAGCUUCUGCUUUGCCAGUCUAGGUUCUGGAGGCCAGGAAGUCCAACAUGAAGGUGACAGCAGAUCCAGUGUCUGUACUUACACCUGGAGAGUUGGACUACUGGGUCGGAGUUGAAGAAAAUUUUACUUUUAAUUUUAUAACCUUUCCCAUUUUUUACCAUGAGCAUGUAACUUUUGUAACUACUUUUAUAAUAAAAUGAAAUAAAUGAAGUGGCACAGUGAAAUUUAAUAUAUGCUAUGUGAAUGAAUAAUAAACUAGGUAAGUUUCAUCAAAUGGGCAUAUGGGAAUAAAAGCCAGUUCUAAAGCAAUUACAAAGUAAUGCUGCUGAUAAAAGUGGACUGUGUAAAGGUAAACAGUGUCACAGCAACCAUUACACAUUGCAGGUUGACUCUCCAAUAUUCUUUCCCGUAGAUCCGAGGUCAAGUUUCAAACUGUCUAAACUAAUACAUGGUAAUGGCAUCCUUCUGCCAAAUGACUGGUUCAGGAGCUGCCAGCCCUAAGUUAAAGUUCUGGAAAUGCUGUGGAAAAUCUGAAAAUGUAAUGGGGAAU
rnacentral:lncRNA from 10 species